GACGAACGCUGGCGGCGCGCCUAACACAUGCAAGUCGAACGAGCGAGAGAGAGCUUGCUUUCUCAAGCGAGUGGCGAACGGGUGAGUAACGCGUGAGGAACCUGCCUCAAAGAGGGGGACAACAGUUGGAAACGACUGCUAAUACCGCAUAAGCCCACGACCCGGCAUCGGGUAGAGGGAAAAGGAGCAAUCCGCUUUGAGAUGGCCUCGCGUCCGAUUAGCUAGUUGGUGAGGUAACGGCCCACCAAGGCGACGAUCGGUAGCCGAACUGAGAGGUUGAACGGCCACAUUGGGACUGAGACACGGCCCAGACUCCUACGGGAGGCAGCAGUGGGGAAUAUUGCACAAUGGGGGAAACCCUGAUGCAGCGACGCCGCGUGGAGGAAGAAGGUCUUCGGAUUGUAAACUCCUGUUGUUGAGGAAGAUAAUGACGGUACUCAACAAGGAAGUGACGGCUAACUACGUG
rnacentral:rRNA from 1 species